AAACCUUUCGACACUUGCAGUA
rnacentral:siRNA from 1 species